rnacentral:rRNA from 1 species
UCUGGUGAUCCUGCCGGGACCCGACUGCUAUCAGAGUGGGACUAAGCCAUGCGAGUUGACGUAGUAAUACGUAGCGAACGGCUCAGUAACACGUAGUCAACAUGCCCAGGGGACGUGGAUAACCUCGGGAAACUGAGAAUAAACCGCGAUAGGUCACAAUUUCUGGAAUGGAUUUUGGCUUAAAUCUACAUGGCCCCUGGAUUGGACUGCGGCCGAUCAGGCUGUUGGUGAGGUAAUGGCCCACCAAACCUGUAACCGGUACGGGCUCUGAGAGGAGGAGCCCGGAGAUGGGCACUGAGACAAGGGCCCAGGCCCUAUGGGGCGCAGCAGGCGCGAAACCUCUGCAAUGGGCGAAAGCCUGACAGGGUUACUCUGAGUGAUUUCCGCUAAGGGGAUCUUUUGACACCUCUAAAAAUGGUGUAGAAUAAGGGGUGGGCAAGUCUGGUGUCAGCCGCCGCGGUAAUACCAGCACCCCGAGUGGUCGGGACGAUUAUUGGGCCUAAAGCAUCCGUAGCCGGUUCUGCAAGUCUUCCGUUAAAUCCAGCCGCUCAACGGAUGGGCUGCGGAAGAUACUAUAGGACUAGGAGGCGGGAGAGGCAAGCGGUACUCAGUGGGUAGGGGUAAAAUCCUUUGAUCCAUUGAAGACCACCAGUGGCGAAGGCGGCUUGCCAGAACGCGCUCGACGGUGAGGGAUGAAAGCUGGGGGAGCAAACCGGAUUAGAUACCCGGGUAGUCCCAGCUGUAAACGAUGCAGACUCGGUGAUGGGCCAGCCUUGUGCUAGCCCAGUGCCGCAGGGAAGCCGUUAAGUCUGCCGCCUGGGGAGUACGGUCGCAAGACUGAAACUUAAAGGAAUUGGCGGGGGAGCACCACAAGGGGUGAAGCCUGCGGUUUCAUUGGGACUCACGCCGGG